rnacentral:tRNA from 1 species
GGGCCCGUAGUAAAGUGGUAUUACACGGCAUUCGCAUUGCCGAGGCGCGAGUUCGAUUCUCGCCGGGUCCA